GCCCGCCAGAGAACCAAACUCUGAAUGUUAGUGAUGUCUGAGUACUAUCUAAUAGUUAAAACUUUCAACAACGGAUCUCUUGGUUCUGGCAUCGAUGAAGAACGCAGCGAAAUGCGAUAAGUAAUGUGAAUUGCAGAAUUCAGUGAAUCAUCGAAUCUUUGAACGCACAUUGCGCCCUGUGGUAUUCCGCAGGGCAUGCCUGUUCGAGCGUCAUUUAACCACUCACGCCUAGCGUGGUAUUGGGGCACGCGGUCUCCGCGGCCCUCAAAAUGAGUGGCGGCGCCGGUGGGCUCUAAGCGUAGUACAUACUCCCGCUAUAGAGUUCCCCCGGUGGCUCGCCAGAACCCCCAAUUUUUACAGGUUGACCUCGGAUCAGGUAGGGAUACCCAGCU
rnacentral:rRNA from 1 species